UUAGAAGUCUGGCCGCCGCCCGUUGGACUAGUUGAAGCUUCUGGGCCAUCUUCAAAGGCAACAGGGAGCAUAUUACUCCUCUGUUGUGUCAGCUCCACUGACUGCCAACAUGCUACUGAGCCCAAUUUAAAGUGUUGGUCUUGACCUAUAAAACCCUAAAUGGUUCUGGUCCAAUGUAUCUGUCUGAACGCAUCUCCUCUUAUGAGCCUAUUAAACAGUUCAGGACCUGCUUAUCUCCAUGAUCGCUUCCUCCCCUAUGAACCCAUACGGGCCUCUCACCUCUGUCCCAAGCUUGGCUGGUGGGGACAAGGGAGAGGGCCUCCUUGGUGGUGGCCCCUUGACUCUGGACACUCUGCCCAGGGAGAUCAGACUGGCACCUUCCGUAAGGAUUUAAAAACGUGGAUGUUGCGGUGAGCAUUUGAGUGAGUAGUCACUCAGUUGGCAGCUUGUUUACUAUUCUUCAUUGCACUUUAUCUUCACUCCUUACUUUUUACUUUUUAGAUUUCCAGUGUCUUGAUGAGACUGUUCUUCUUACCAUUAUCCUUGAACAUCCCUGUACUUCCCACGAACCCUGCUUAGAGUCCUGCACUAGUCACCCUCUGCUUAUGCUGUACUUGAGGCCAGGUUUUAAAGGUGGGAUCCAGACUGGACUUGUGAGGCCUUCCCAUCCAGUUCUAUGCUGCCUUUUUCUCUGCCCUACCUGUCAUAUCUUUGGGAUUUUUUUAAAAAAAAAUGUUGUUGUUUCCUCAGGGAUUAUUUUCUGAAAUUGCAGCUGAGAUUAGAAAUAUUAAUUUGUCCCACAUAUUGCAACUUAUGUACAGUUGAGUCUUUACUGGGGUUUGGGUCAAGGACCUCCCAUGGAAACAAAAAUAUCUGGAUGUGCAAGUCCCAUGUAUACAUUGGAAUAGUAAAAUGAUGUUCCCUUAUAGAAACUGGUGAAAAACUCACAUGAGUGGCACUGAGAGUAUGAGGAUCUGUGAAAUGGUGACAGGCAGCAACAGGAUAUGACAAUACAUAAGAGUAGUGUUCAGGAUGCGGCAAAAUCAAGACCUGUUUUGGGAGUAUUUUUUUACAAAUAGGUUGGGCCAUGGUAGGUUGAGUCCGUGGAUUUAAAGAACUGAUUGUAUCUCAAAAGGACUUAAGAGAGAAAAGGAGAGAAAGUAGGAGGGAGAGGAAAAGUGUGAGAGAGAGUGAGAAAGAAAGCAGAAAAGAUUAAGAGGAACAGAAUGAGGAAGCUGGGGCAUUCCUCAUUUCCUCCUCAGGAUCGAACUCAGGAGAGCUGAUAGAUUUACCCAGAGGAAAUCCAGAUGGAGUAAGGGGAAAUAAUGGUUUUAAUGUGAAGAUAACUGAUUUUAGUCUUUAUGUAUACAGUAUUUAUAGUUUACUUUAUGCUCCGGCAUUGAAUGUUUACCAUAUAUAUGUUGUGCUCUGCCCUGAGUCCCCUUCGGGGCGAGAAGGGUGGAAUAUAAAUGUUUUAAAUAAAUAAAUAAACAAACUAUGUACUUUGA